GGGUUGUGAGGUUAAGCGACUAAGCGUACACGGUGGAUGCCUUGGCAGUCAGAGGCGAUGAAGGACGUGCUAAUCUGCGAUAAGCGUCGGUAAGGUGAUAUGAACCGUUAUAACCGGCGAUUUCCGAAUGGGGAAACCCAGUGUGAUUCGUCACACUAUCAUUAACUGA
rnacentral:rRNA from 1 species